GCUUGUCUCAAAGAUUAAGCCAUGCAUGUCUAAGUACAAGCCUGAAAAACGGUGAAACCGCGAAUGGCUCAGUAAAUCAGUCAUGGUUCCUUGGAAUAUGAUCCGAUGUGGAUAACUGUGGUAAUUCUAGAGCUAAUACAUGACUAUACGCCUCGGCUGAAAAGUCCACGCGUGCAUUUAUUAGACAACCAGCGAUGCCCCUCGUGGGAAUCACAUCGCCUUACCAUGUGGUGAACUCUGUAUGAACUUACCCAGCUUAUCGCUCAGGUCAUUGGAACCGGCGAAGUUCUUUCAAGUGUCUGCUCUAUCAACUGUCGAUGGCAGGUUAUACGCCUACCAUGGUUGUGACGGGUAACGGAGAAUCAGGGUUCGAUUCCGGAGAGGGAGCCUGAGAAACGGCUACCACAUCCAAGGAAGGCAGCAGGCGCGCAAAUUACCCAAUCCCGGCACGGGGAGGUAGUGACGAAAAAUAACGAUGCGGGGCUCCAACGAGUCUCCGUGAUCGGAAUGAGUACGCUCUAAAGCCUCUAACGAGGACCAAUUGGAGGGCAAGUCUGGUGCCAGCAGCCGCGGUAAUUCCAGCUCCAAUAGCGUAUAUUAAAGCUGUUGCGGUUAAAAAGCUCGUAGUUGAAACCCAGCGGACUUCGUAGAGUGGGAGCGUUUGUCUGCUCCGUGUCUACGGGUUGCGCAACGAAGGUAGCUGUCCCUCGUCCUCUUCACUGAGCGGCUUGGGGUGGCUAUCAUAUAUCACUUUGAUUAAAUUAGAGUGCUCAAAGCAGGCCUCGUGCCCCCAUAGCAGUGCACGGAAUGAUGGAAGACGUUGCUGUUCCGUUGUCUGGUUUUUGGAUACGGCAAGAUGAUCGAGAGGAACAACCCGGAGGUGAAGGUAUUGCAGCGAGAGAGGUGAAAUUCUUGGACCGUUGCAAGACCAACUACAGCGAAAGCAUUCGCCGAGAGUGUUUUCAUUGAUCAAGAACGAAAGUUAGAGGUUCGAAGGCGAUCAGAUACCGCCCUAGUUCUAACCAUAAACGAUGCCUACUUGCAAUCCGCCUCGGUUCUCUAAAUGACCGGGCGGGCAGCUCCGGGAAACCAAAGUGGGGUUCCGGGGGAAGUAUGGUUGCAAAGCUGAAACUUAAAGGAAUUGACGGAAGGGCUACCACCAGAAGUGGAGCCUGCGGCUUAAUUUGACUCAACACGGGAAAACUCACCCGGCCCGGACACUGGAAGGAUUGACAGAUUGAGAGCUCUUUCUUGAUUCGGUGGAUGGUGGUGCAUGGCCGUUCUUAGUUGGUGGAGCGAUCUGUC
rnacentral:rRNA from 1 species